rnacentral:rRNA from 1 species
CCUACGGGGGGCAGCAGUGGGGAAUAUUGGACAAUGGGGGGAACCCUGAUCCAGCCAUGCCGCGUGUGUGAAGAAGGCCCUCGGGUUGUAAAGCACUUUCAGUGAGGAAGAACGCCUGGUGGUUAAUACCCAUCAGGAAAGACAUCACUCACAGAAGAAGCACCGGCUAACUCCGUGCCAGCAGCCGCGGUAAUACGGAGGGUGCGAGCGUUAAUCGGAAUUACUGGGCGUAAAGCGCGCGUAGGUGGCUUGAUAAGCCGGUUGUGAAAGCCCCGGGCUCAACCUGGGAACGGCAUCCGGAACUGUCAAGCUAGAGUGCAGGAGAGGAAGGUAGAAUUCCCGGUGUAGCGGUGAAAUGCGUAGAGAUCGGGAGGAAUACCAGUGGCGAAGGCGGCCUUCUGGCCUGACACUGACACUGAGGUGCGAAAGCGUGGGUAGCAAACAGGAUUAGAUACCCUGGUAGUC